UACGUAGGGCGCAAGCGUUGUCCGGAAUUAUUGGGCGUAAAGAGCUCGUAAGUGGCUUGUCGCGUCUGCCGUGAAAGCCCGUGGCUUAACUACGGGUCUGCGGUGGAUACGGGCAGGCUAGAGGCUGGUAGGGGCAAGCGGAAUUCCUGGUGUAGCGGUGGAAUGCGCAGAUAUCAGGAGGAACACCGGUGGCGAAGGCGGUUCUCUGGGCCUUACCUGACGCUGAGGAGCGAAAGCGUGGGGAGCGAACAGG
rnacentral:rRNA from 1 species